CUGCCAAAGAACCCUGGGCUCGCUCCUGACUACAACCUUGUUGUCUGAGUAAAUAUAAAGGUGAACCUCUGUUUAAAACGAGGCAGAAUCAGCCCAAAACUGUCACUGACGCCACUGACGCACCGCUCCUGAUGUACGACACCCCCAGCGCCCUCCCCACGGAGCAGUUUGGUAACAGCCCCAGCAUCGACUCCAGUAUGGAGAGACACCACAGCAACCAGAUGAGGAGGACCAUCCCUGCUGCCUAGACGUCGCUUCUCUGUCAGGACCUAAACAGAUAAGAUGCACGGAAACUCUGCAGCAUCAGUCAGGAAUUCAAAGACUGACUGGUCCUUGAAUUCAAAAUAUCGACUAUUCUUAAUGUGAAAUAGAGUAUUACCAUGUCUUUCUUAUUCCUGCGUAGCUGGCUGGCUUUGUGCCUUCUGUCAAUCUUCUUUUGCUCCUUCCUCUGUUUUUUGGUAAGAGCUGUCACUGACACUCUCCCUGUGUGUCAAUUCAACACAAGGAUUUACUACAUCUGUACGUUGUGCAAGAUCCCAAGUGAAGCAAAUUAUACGGUACAUAUGUAGAUGCACGCGUUCCAAGCCUUAUUUGGAUGCUUUAUUGAAGAGACUGGUGUCAGUUACUGGAAGCUCAUAUCGCACAGUGCACGUUUUCAUGAUUCAAUAUUUGAACUGCUGUGGGGUUUGAAUGCAUCCUUUGGGUAAAACAGAUGCUGUAACUGUAAGUUGUCAAUAGAUCUGCAGUAGAAGAAAACAGUGUGCAACUAUUCUUAUGGCUUUCUGUAGGUUAUUGUAGUUACGAUUGAUGUAUACAAUAUCUUUGCUGCUUUUAAACAUACGUUGGGCUGACAAUAUAUCAAAAACACCCGUAGGGUUCAGUGUAAUCCAAUACAACGGCCCUGCAACAAACGCUGCCUUUACUUUAAGAAAAAGUGAACAUAUAUAAGCUCCUUAGAUUCUCAGAAGUACUGAUUUCAGUGGAUAAAUUUGGAGGCCGUGCUGUUUUGUCAUUGCUGUUAUGAACUGCAUUACAGUGUACGGUGUCCGCUCACUUGAACAUAUGAUGACCCCCCCCACCACAAAAUGCUUAACAUGGUCAACUUGACAGAGCGAGGUCUACCCCACCAGUUUCCAAUGUCAAGCGAGACUCGGCACACGAUCGGCAUUUAUAUGUAAAAAAAAAAUAUAUAUAAAAUUUAAAACAAAAAAAGACACGAUUAACGUGCAACACAUUAUCUACACAACUCAUGCCACCGCUAAUUUCCACGGCGAAAGAGGCAACACGUGUGUCCGCGGAGCCGUGGUCACCGCUAACAACAGCUGUUGGAAACACUCUGUCUAACCGGACAUGGCUCACCUUUGUUUUCUCUCUCAAGUUCACCUUUCGUCCGGUGCUUGCCAUGUUUGUGUCCUUUAUUUUUCUGUUUAUAUACGCCGGGUCUGUGGCCCUGUUGUUUUUCCCCACUCGCAGCCAUUUUCACCAUGUGGGGAAACUCGGGCAGUUUACUUCCGACUUUCAGACUUUCCGGAAAAGUGUUCCUUCAAAAUAAAAGCCCGUGUAACAACACGGGAGCAUCUUA